rnacentral:rRNA from 1 species
CCUACGGGAGGCAGCAGUAGGGAAUUUUCGGCAAUGGGGGAAACCCUGACCGAGCAAUGCCGCGUGAAUGAUGAAGGUCUUCGGACUGUAAAGUUCUGUUAUCGGGAACGAAUAACAUGGCGAGGAAAUGCGCCAUGCAUGACGGUACCCGAUGAGAAAGCCCCGGCUAACUAUGUGCCAGCAGCCGCGGUAAU